GUAUGGUGGAUGCCUUGGCAGACAGGACCGAUGAAGGACGUUUGAGGCUGCGAUAUGCCUCGGGGAGCCGCCAACAGGGCUUUGAUCCGAGGAUUUCCGAAUGGGGGAACCCACCGGCCGUCAUGGGCCGGUACCGCCGUGUGCGGGGGGUACGCAGGGAAGUGAAACAUCUCAGUACCUGCAGGAAAGGAUAUUCCGUGAGUAGUGGCGAGCGAAAGCGGAUCAGGCCAAACCUUGCGCGUGUGAUACCCGUCGGGGGUUGCGCGCGGGGUGUAGAGGGAUCGCGUUUGCCGGCUCCGACGGGCCGGCCGUCAGUUGCAUAAAACCAUGUGCCAGGGGAACCGGGUUGAAUACCGGGCCGCAGAGGGUGAGGGCCCCGUACCCGAACGCGCAUGGUCUGGCGAUCGCGUCUCCCAAGUAGCACGGGCCCCGUGGAAUCCCGUGCGAAUCUGUCCCGACCGUGGGAUAAGCCUAAAUAUUCCUGUCUGACCGAUAGCGAACGAGUACCGUGAGGGAAAGGUGAAAAGUACCCCGGGAGGGGAGUGAAACAGUCUCUGAAACCAUGCGCCUACGAACCGUCGGGGCCCUCUUGUGGGGUGACGGCGUGCCUAUCGAAAAAUGAGUCUGCGAGUCAGUGGCAUGUGGCGAGCAUAACCCGUGUGGGGUAUGCGUAGCGAAGGCGAGUCUUAAAAGGCGUUUGAGUCGCGUGUCCUGGACCCGAAGCGGGAUGAUCUAGCCCUGAGCAGGUUGAAGCGCGGGUAAGACCGUGUGGAGGACCGAACCCACCUGGGUUGAAAACCGGGGGGAUGACUUGGGGCUAGGGGUGAAAGGCCAAUCAAAUUCCGUGAUAGCUGGUUCUCUCCGAAAUGCAUUUAGGUGCAGCGUCGGAUCGAUUACAUCCGGGGGGUAGAGCGACUGGAUGCUUGCGGGCCCAUAUCGGGUACCAACAGCAACCAAACUCCGAAUACCCGUGAUGCGUAUCCCGGCAGUGAGUCGGCGGGGGAUAAGCUCCGUCGUCGAAAGGGAAACAGCCCAGAUCGUCGUCUAAGGUCCCCAAGCGUGUGCUAAGUGGGAAAGGAUGUGGAGUCGCAUAGACAGCCAGGAGGUUGGCUCAGAAGCAGCCACCCUUGAAAGAGUGCGUAACAGCUCACUGGUCUAGUGGUUCCGCGCCGACAAUGUAGCGGGGCUCAAGCACACCACCGAAGACGCGGCAGUAGCUUUGCUACUGGGUAGGAGAGCGUCCCAUGCGGGGCGAAGCGGCGGCGCAAGCCCGCCGUGGACCGCACGGGAGUGAGAAUGCAGACAUGAGUAGCGAAAGACGGGUGAAGAUCCCGUCCGCUGGACGACCAAGGGUUCCAGGGCCACGUUCAUCGUCCCUGGGUGAGUCGGGUCCUAAGGCGAGGCCGACAGGCGUAGUCGAAUGGAUGAACGGGUCGAUAUUCCCGUACCGGCAUGCAACCGGCAAAACCGAAUCCGCGAGUACUAACCUCCGGGUCCGGGCUCACGUCUCCUUCGGGAGCCGGAUGCCCUGGCCUGUUGGGACCGUAACGGUAGUAGGUCAGCGCGGGAGUGACGCAGAAGGGUAGCCGGCCGCGGAGGUGGUCUUCCGUGGUCAAGCACGCAGCCCGUCCCACAGGCAAAUCCGUGGGGCGCGUGGGCGAGGUGCGAUGAUGGGCGCCGCAGGGCGCGAUAUCCGGUGAUCCCGGCUGCCGAGAAAAGCUUCGGCGUGAGGCGGCGUGCCGCCCGU
rnacentral:rRNA from 1 species